rnacentral:rRNA from 1 species
GGUGAGUAACGCGUGGGUAACCUACCUUAGAGUUGGGGAUAACGUCCCGAAAGGGGUGCUAAUACCGAAUAUGGUCCUGUAGCGCAUGCUAUGGAGAUUAAAGAUGGGGAUUCUUCGGAACCUGUCGCUUUUUGAGGGGCCCGCGUCCAAUUAGCUUGUUGGUGAGGUAACGGCUCACCAAGGCUCCGAUUGGUAGUUGGUCUGAGAGGAUGAUCAGCCACACUGGGACUGAGACACUGCCCAGACUCCUACGGGAGGCUGCAGUCGAGAAUCAUUCACAAUGCGCGAAAGCGUGAUGAUGCGACGCUGCGUGGAGGAUGAAGGCCUUAGGGUUGUAAACUCCUGUCAUGAGGGAGUAAAUCGCGCCGCCGAAUAAGCGGCGUGUUUGAUAGUACCUCAAGAGGAAGUCACGGCUAACUCUGUGCCAGCAGCCGCGGUAAUACAGAGGUGGCAAACGUUGUUCGGAUUUACUGGGCGUAAAGGGUGCGUAGGUGGGAUUGUAUGUUGGAUGUGAAAGCCCGUGGCUUAACCACGGAAUUGCAUCCAAAACUGCAGUUCUAGAGUGUGUAAGGGGAGAGCGGAAUUCUUGGUGUAGCGGUGAAAUGCAUUGAUAUCAAGAAGAACACCGGUGGCGAAGGCGGCUCUCUGGUACACUACUGACGCUGAGGCACGAAAGCUAGGGGAGCGAACAGGAUUAGAUACCCUGGUAGUCCUAGCCGUAAACGGUGUGAACUUGGUGUGGGAGGAUUUGACCCCUUCCGUGCCGGAGCUAACGCGUUAAGUUCACCGCCUGGGGAGUACGGCCGCAAGGCUAAAACUCAAAGAAAUUGACGGGGGCCCGCACAAGCGGAGGAGCAUGUGGCUUAAUUCGAUGCAACGCGAAGAACCUUACCUGGGCUUGACAUGCAGCUGCUCAUCCCGUGAAAGCGGGAUUCUUUCGAAGGUGCUGCACAGGUGCUGCAUGGCUGUCGUCAGUUCGUGCCGUGAGGUGUUGGGUUAAGUCCCGCAACGAACGCAACCCUUGUGUCUAGUUGCCAGCGAGUAAUGUCGGGGACUCUAGACAGACUGCCUGUACAAGCAGGAGGAAGGUGGGGAUGACGUCAAGUCAGUAUGGCCCUUACGCCCAGGGCUGCACACGUGCUACAAUGGUCGGUACAGAGGGAUGCAAGACCGCGAGGUGGAGCUAAUCCCCAAAGCCGGCCCCAGUUCGGAUUGGAGUCUGCAACUCGACUCCAUGAAGUUGGAUUCGCUAGUAAAAGCGUAUCAGCUACGACGCCUUGAAUACGUUCCCGGGCCUUGUACACACCGCCCGUCACAUCAUGAAAGCCGUCUGCACCCGAAGUCGCUGCACCAACCCGCAAGGGAGGUAGGUGCCGAAGGUGUGGGUGGUGAUUGGGAUGAAGUCGAAACAAGGU